rnacentral:rRNA from 1 species
UGCCAGCAGCCGCGGUAACACGGGGGGCGCAAGCGUUAUUCGGAAUUAUUGGGCGUAAAGCGGGUGUAGGUGGCUUGGAAAGUCGGAUGUGAAAUCCCAGGGCUCAACCCUGGAACUGCAUUCGAAACUUCCUAGCUAGAGUCCUGGAGAGGAAGGCAGAAUUCCCGGUGUAGAGGUGAAAUUCGUAGAUAUCGGGAGGAAUACCAGUGGCGAAGGCGGCCUUCUGGACGGUGACUGACACUCAGACCCGAAAGCGUGGGUAGCGAACAGGAUUAGAUA